rnacentral:ribozyme from 1 species
UGUCCAGUAACUCCUAUCCCUACCUCCCCGUGGUGCCGCCUGGGAUACGAGUAACCUAGGGAAGAUCCGGUUACCAACCCUGGUGGAACCUUGGUCGUAUGCUGACAGGGAAGG